AGUGAACGCUGGCGGCAGGCCUAACACAUGCAAGUCGAACGGCAGCACAGAGGAGCUUGCUCCUUGGGUGGCGAGUGGCGGACGGGUGAGGAAUACAUCGGAAUCUACCUUGUCGUGGGGGAUAACGUAGGGAAACUUACGCUAAUACCGCAUACGACCUACGGGUGAAAGCGGAGGACCGCAAGGCUUCGCGCGAUAAGAUGAGCCGAUGUCGGAUUAGCUAGUUGGCGGGGUAAUGGCCCACCAAGGCGACGAUCCGUAGCUGGUCUGAGAGGAUGAUCAGCCACACUGGAACUGAGACACGGUCCAGACUCCUACGGGAGGCAGCAGUGGGGAAUAUUGGACAAUGGGCGCAAGCCUGAUCCAGCCAUGCCGCGUGUGUGAAGAAGGCCUUCGGGUUGUAAAGCACUUUUGUCCGGAAAGAAAAGCUUCGGGUUAAUACCCUGAGGUCAUGACGGUA
rnacentral:rRNA from 1 species